UGGGGGAUAUUGCACAAUGGGGGGGAACCCUGAUGCAGCGACGCCGCGUGAGCGAUGAAGUAUUUCGGUAUGUAAAGCUCUAUCAGCAGGGAAGAAAAUGACGGUACCUGACUAAGAAGCCCCGGCUAACUACGUGCC
rnacentral:rRNA from 1 species